UAGUGGGGUUGUGUGCGUGUGAACGUUGUGAAUGUGUGAUCGUGUGGUUGCGCGUAGUCCGUAGCGUUGUAAAUUUACCGGUUAGGGUCAAGUAGGGUAAAAAAGAUGGAAGGAAAAUCAAAACUUUCGAAACCGAGCGUGGCAUGAUGUCCCGUGUUUUACGCGUCGACGAAACAUCGAUACGGUGCACUGAAACGAAAGAGUCAGCGAAUGCAGCGCGGGCAGAAGAUUUUGCGCGCCAUUUCUCCAGUCGAUUGCGUGGAAAGAGUCGUGAGCACAGAGAUCCAUAAAUCGCUGCGACAGCGUAGCGGCGCGACUCGCAGGCCGGACAGGCAUAGAGAGCCAGACAGUCGCCAGGCAGACGGACACCAGACGGAGACGAUGCAUGCGUUUGAUGAACGCCGAUUCGAUUGUGAAAAGUUGCACGGUGACUUCGUAUUCAUCAAACCACCGAUUAAAACCUCAUCAACUUAUCGAUUUGCCCGGUGGUUAACCCUUCCAGUCUGGCCAAACAUAACAGAGAAACCGGGACAGAGACCGUACGUACGACCGUGCCAGCGCAACGAGAAAGAGCAACAAAGAAACGAAAAGGGAACCAGACGCGGGUAGAAGCGGUAGCAACGACCAACGAGAAAGACGACUGCUGCAACAUUUACCGUCGACUUCUAUCCUUCAGGGGUGGAUGACUCGAGAGGUCGCCUCCUCUUCGUGGGCCUCGACACACAACUACUGUUCGCCACAUGGCCUCCUCUCUUCGCUUCUGGUAUCUCCCUUCUUCUCCUUUUCUCUUUCUCUCUUUCUCCUUCUCUCUCUCUCUCUCUUUUCCUUUCAUUUCCUUUCUCUCUCUUCCUAAGGUUGCCUUUUUCGCUUGUGCUGCUUCUCUCGUGUUUUCCAUCGGUCCGCGGCGUCUCGUUCGCUGCCGCGAGCCGCAAUUAUUACCAGUAUUCCUGGGCUGACGUGACGUGACACGCUCGGCCUAUGCGCGCGGGGUCAGGCGCACGGGGUUAGCUGAAAUUACGCCGACCAGGCGCCUCCGACACGAGGAACGAGUUACAUGUACGCGUGCCGCUGGUUCCCUGCCGCUACUGCGACGCUUCUUGCGCGCGUGCAUUCGCAAGGACGUCAGAUUCUGCUCUUUUAUUCGUCGAUCUUCCAUGGAAAGUAGUUUUUUAUUGGAUUUAUUUUGAUCUGAAGUAAAUAUGCGACUAAUCACUGCACGAUCAUCUAUCGUGUACGCAUGAUUUUUUUUUUAUUAUGAUAUUUCCUGUAUACAAUUCUAUAUAUGUUUUCUUUAUCCAGUUUUUCCAUCCUGAAAGUAAAGUUAAGAUGGAUAGUACACUAUGGACGAAACACGUGGAAUCAUGUCGUCAAUUGUGAGGAAUCUUCCGCUAAUUUGGGUAAUAAUGUCGUUUGAUUCAGGAUGCGAUUAAAGGACUUUUUCCAGAGGUCUUCCCCAGGGUAACACGGAAUUUCAAGCUGAUCUUCGUUUAGAUUCUACAAUCUCGUGCAACAGGUAGUGAAUGCAAACUUUCAUUUGGUAUUGUACAGGUAUGUAUAUUUCAGAAUAGAUGAGACUUUUCAAUGGUGAUGGUAAAAACUGUAUAGGUAACUACAGAAGUUUUUAACAUUCGCACACAUAAUUACCAAUUUUAAAUCUUCUGUUGUUAGCCAUUGUAUAUGUGUAUGUACAAAAAGUAGCAUAAAAUUGUGUAUACGUCUCGAACUUAUUCCAGCGAUUGUAUGCGUUCAAAAACGUAAGAAACUUUGAACUGUUGAAAACUCUGUGUCGUAAAAAGCGAUGUACAAUCUUCGAAGUAAAGAAGAUAAUGCAAGAUAUUACAAUCCAGAUAAAAAGCGACGAUAGAGGAAAAGCAACGAUGCCCGCGGUUUAUUUGUUGGCGAGUAAAGACGAAGCGGGCAAGAAGGAAAAGCAGAGAGGAGAUCGAACAGAAGAGGAAGAAGAAGAACGAGGGCACGUCAGGAGGAGUAUAGGACCGUGACUCGUCCGUGACAUCGCGAUUACGCUCGCACACCUGUGCCCGACCCCGCUUCCACUCCAGUCGGCCACUUACUUUAGCAAUCGUCACGUGCUGCAACGAGCCAGCCACGCGUCUCGCGCUUAAAUGCACCAGCGAUCAACUUUCUCUGCUUAUCUAACCGAUGAUGUUCCAAUAACUAAUGAUUCGGGAAUCGAAGAUUCGAAAGCGAUAAAUUACAAUUACGGAGGAAAAUUUCAAAUUCGAUAAGGGAUCGAUUAUAUCCCAAGUUACGGAAGAGUUAAACGAGUGAUUACCAUGGUUUUCGCAAAGUUAAAUAUUCAUUGGGUAUUCUGUACUGUACGUAAAAUUGAAAUAACAUUUAAACAAUUUCAAAUUGAAAAAUUGUCGAUAAAUAGAGCGUUGUGUGUGAUUAAUUUGAUUUUUGAGUGAGCCGUAUGCGAUUUCAGGAUCUUAGAGAAUUCUUAAAACUUAUUCAAAUACUAUGUACCUUUCCAUGUUGCGUAUAAUGGCACGACACUGUAAAUUCCUUGUAAUAUUUAAGAAUAUUUAAUUCCCAUAUAGUUACUACAACAAAACGAUAUAUAAUUAAAUUAAAAGAAUUCGUAAAUAUAUUCCUGAACAUCGUACGUAGGAGUUGUGCAUCUGCAAACUUAUCUGCAUCACAGGGAACGAAAUUAAACUAAUUCUAUGAACGCUGUAAACCGCCACUGGAACGUAUCCCCCGAAAAUAAUACCACAAAUAGCCAAAACCGAUUAACACUACGUAAAACAUAUUCGUCCAAAAUCAACGAGCAGCGUGGAGUUUGCGAACUACGCAAAAUCCGAAAAUGCACCACCGUCAAACUCAACGACGCUCGAAUAUGCCUGGGAAGCGAUCCCAAAGGAACAACUGCAUUACCCCGACCGCAAACCGAAGGCUCUAAGCGCACGAUAUCCUGGAUUCUAUUAAAUUACAUACAGUCUUGACUUCAUCGUCGAAGCCACGUGGCACGGUACACGCUAACAGCAUCGCGGCGCAACGAUUCAAGCGGUUUCCCAUACACAGCCGCGACAGAGGUUUACGUUGCAGCCACGCGUCCACCCUGUUUUCUCGCGAGCCGCGGUAUAAAUUAUGCUGCCUACCGUUCCACCACCCCGUAUUGAUUAAUUCCAACUGCUGUUCAAGCGACGAGAUUAAAUCUCGGGAUUCGCGGCUUCUUUAACGGUGUAUUAUGUUCCUGUACACUGUUACUCGACGCUUAUAAUCUCCGUUUGAUUCUCGUAUUUUACAAGAUCGUCGGAUUAUGCUCGCUAGAUGUUCUUAUUGCCAAUUUUAUUUCUAUUUUCUUGAAAGCACAGAGAUACUAUCGAACGAGAAACACGAGGAAAUAUUUAUAUAACAACGAUAUGUGUUUGACGAUUAGGUGUGUGAAUCGUACCAAUAAUUUGCCUGUAUUUUGAAGAUCGAAACCUGCGAUAGUACAAGAUCGUGUUGAUAAAGUGGAACCUUUAAUCUUUUAAUAUACUUGACUGUAAUCAUUUAUGCGUCAGCGUGUCGAGAUAAUUUAUUUAAAAUCUUUGAUUCCACGUGAGCCAUUUGAAACGUUCGUCGUGCGAGCUUCUACAAGAUCAUCGUUGUAAUUCUGUGUGAUUUCUUCUGUCUGAUCUUUAGUCCUCUUUUUAUCUCUUCUUACGUGGGCGUUAUGUUUCAGGACACUUUUAAUUUAGUUGUUUUGAAGAUACUGUCUGUACUUGGUUCACUUCGCAUGCUUUUUGUAGCCUGCUCCAGUUUUCCGGCUAAACUGCUCGUUAAUAUUCCUGGGUAAAGUGUCGUUGACGCAGAUGUGACAGAAUUAAGGGAAUCAUUAGUUCAAUGGAGCCUAGCGUGAAAGCUUGAUUCACAUUAACCCUGCAAUACUACACCUAUACGUAAUAUACUGGGGUAGUGCAUAUUUCAAUCGUGAAAACGACUGAAAGAAAGUAUAGUUUAAAGCAUCGAAAAAUCUAAUUUUAUUAACACAACAGAAACAAAUUCAGAUCUCCAACUGGAUAAGUUUCCUCAUACUAGAAAAUUACCUAAAAGCGUAAAUAACAAUAAUAGCUGUGACACAAGUAGGGAAUACCAUUCUAUGGACAGCAACAUAGCAAUAUUUCAAUUCUAGUAAACCACAGAAUUAAAGAUCUUUCGAUAAAUGACUUCGAAAAAUACUACAGAGUAACGUUGCCUUUCGAUAUUCCAAGAUGACGAGAAAAUUAUCGCGAAUACCCAAAUGACGAGAGAAUUGACAGAAAACCAUCGUGACACAAACCUAAAGCAAAUCCGCGUGCAAUAUAAUUUCUAGUGAAAACGCGUAGUCUAACGAAGCAGUGCAUCGUGUAGAGAAAAACUGGCAAAACAGAGGGUUGGAGAAGAUGGUAAAAAGAGAGGAGAGCAGCGAAGCUGGCGCAUGCCACAAGUGUGCCCAGCAUCGUAUCCUAUUGGGUUACAACCCGACGUUGCUUCUCUUCGUCUACUGGUUUAGUGUUACCACGUUCUCUACACGAGAAGUUGCGCUAUGGAAGCCUUAGGCCCACUGCGAAAUGGAUGCACAUUCCUCGUAUGCUCGUCCAUGAACCUCGGAACGCCGAUCGGACGAGACACCUCGACGAAUUAAUCUGACUACAACUCGUUGCGCACCGUUGUCAAGCUAAUUAAGAGCAGCCUUAAAACCCGAGCUCGGGCAAGUGAAAGAACCAAGAAGCUUCCCUUCUGCAAUUUUUUACCCUUCUCUUGCGAGGGUAGUGGUUACUGGAAAGUGUUUAGGCUACUGUAACCUGGGUAUACACGAUAGGUUAGGGUUAGACUGAGACAUUGUGUGGUUUGGUGAAGGUACUUUGAAGAUAGGGACAAGCAGUUGUUAUAUUGUUGAAAGGUUUGUGCUUUCUUAUGUCAAUUUUGCGGGACCAAGUUAAUGGUAGGUAAUUUGAAACUGUUUUGAGAAGAGGAUGCGGUAGGAAAAUGAUAAGGGUUAAAGCGUAAGAAAAUAUUGUUGUUUAUUUUUAGAUAAACCAGUUUGACGGAGUGUUGCAAAUCGGAAUUAAUUAAGAACUAAUUAUUGGUAUAAAAUUGUUAUUGUAUUUCCAUCUAUUUAUGCUCACACAAAGCUAUCCUUCUCUAAAGCGUUAAAUGUUUGUAAUAAAGUUACGUCUGCUGCAAUAUCACUUUCAUAUGUUUUGUACUAUUUAAAUUUUCAUCAUCUUUUUCGUACUUCGAGUAUACCGUUGACAAAAAAGCUUACUUAUUUUGAUCACAAAGUGAAGCACAUACCAUUCACAAACUAUUAAACUAUCAAACAUUCAUUUCCAACGAAAUAUCUAUUUCAUUAUAUGAAUAUCA